GACGUAGGGCGCGAGCGUUGUCCGGAUUUAUUGGGCGUAAAGAGCUCGUAGGCGGCUUGUCGCGUCGACUGUGAAAACUCGGGGCUCAACUCCGAGCUUGCAGUCGAUACGGGCAGGCUAGAGUUCGGUAGGGGAGACUGGAAUUCCUGGUGUAGCGGUGGAAUGCGCAGAUAUCAGGAAGAACACCGGUGGCGAAGGCGGCUCUCUGGGCCUUACCUGACGCUGAGGCACGAAGGUCAGGGGAGCAAACGGG
rnacentral:rRNA from 1 species